UAUCUCUGUAGAGUCUGCAUAUCAAUAAGCGGAGGAAAAGAAACUAACUAGGAUUCCCUCAGUAACGGCGAGUGAAGCGGGAAGAGCUCAAAUUUGAAAUCUUCAAGGUUUUACCUUGACGAAUUGUAGUUUAAAGAAGUGUUUUCUGUUGGUAGUUUUGGUAAAAGUUCUUUGGAAUAGGACAUCAUAGAGGGUGAGAAUCCCGUAUUUGACCAUUAUUUCCAGCUUUGUGAUACACUUUCAAAGAGUCGGAUUGUUUAGGGAAUGCAGUCCAAAAUGGGUGGUAAAUUUCAUCUAAAGCUAAAUACUUGGCGAGAGACCGAUAGCGAACAAGUACCGUGAGGGAAAGAUGAAAAGAACUUUGAAAAGAGAGUUAAACAGUACGUGAAAUUGUCAAAAGGGAAGCGUUUGACACCAGUGUUGUUUCUACGAAAAUCAAUUUAUGAUGGCUUGAUGCUAAGCUUUAAGACUUUAUCCGCUUGUUGUUUAGUUUUCUUGUCUUUGUGAAUGCACUUUUCGUGGAACAAGUCAACAUCAAUUUCUUUUGCUGUAAAAGGGUAAGAGGAAGGUGGCUUCGGCUUCGGUUGAAGUGUUUAUAGCCUUUUAUCUCUGCAGUCGGAGAGAUUGAGGUCUGCAGCGUAGACUCUUCGGGGUUAGAUACGUCGGUGCUAAGCUAUAGCUUUUCAUAGACAACUUGUUGACUAUGUUUAGUCAUGUGGCUUACCCGCUGGCGCUAUUUUACCUACGCUUAGGAUGUUGAGUCAUCACACAUCUCU
rnacentral:rRNA from 1 species